UUCCGGUUGAUCCUGCCGGAGGCUACCGCUAUUGGAGUUCGAUUAAGCCAUGCGAGUCUAGAGGCCUAGCCUCGGCGUACCGCUCAGUAACACGUGGGUAACCUACCCUAUGCUGGGGAAUAAGCUCGGGAAACUGAGAAUAAUACCCCAUAGUCCACUACGCCUGGAACGGUGAGUGGAUCAAAGCUCCGGCGGCAUAGGAUGGGCCUGCGGCGUAUCAGGUUGUAGGGGGUGUAAUGUACCCUCUAGCCAUCCACGCGUACGGGUGUUGGGAGACAUUGCCCGGAGAUGGAUUCUGAGACACGAAUCCAGACCCUACGGGGUGCAGCAGGCGCGAAAACUUGGCAAUGCGAGAAAUCGUGACCAGGGAACUCCAAGUGGCAGGGGUAAGACCCUGUCUUUUUCCGACUCUAAAUAGGUCGGCGAAUAAGGGGUGGGUAAGGACGGUGCCAGCCGCCGCGGUAAUACCGGCGCCUCAAGUGGUAGUCGCUUUUAUUGGGCCUAAAACGUCCGUAGCCGGUCUGGUACAUUCGUGGGUAAAUCAACUCGCUCAACGAGUUGAAUUCUGCGAGGACGGCCAGACUUGGGACCGGGAGAGGUGUGGGGUACUCUCAGGGUAGGGGUAAAAUCCUGUCAUCCUGAGAGGACCACCUGUUGCGAAGGCUCCACACUAGAACGGAUCCGACGGUCAGGGACGAAGCCUAGGGGCACGAACCGGAUUAGAUACCCGGGUAGUCCUAGGUGUAAACGCUGUGGACUUGAUGUUGGGGACGCUCCGAGCGUUCUCAGUGUCGAAGCGAAGGUGAUAAGUCCACUGCCUGGGGAGUACGGUCGCAAGGCUGAAACUUAAAGGAAUUGGCGGGGGAGCACCGCAACCCGAGGAUUGUGCGGUUUAAUUGGAUCAACGCCGGA
rnacentral:rRNA from 1 species